CCUACGGGAGGCAGCAGUGGGGAAUAUUGCACAAUGGGCGCAAGCCUGAUGCAGCGACGCCGCGUGAGGGAUGACGGCCUUCGGGUUGUAAACCUCUUUCAGUAGGGAAGAAGCGAAAGUGACGGUACCUGCAGAAGAAGCGCCGGCUAACUACGUGCCAGCAGCCGCGGUAAUACGUAGGGCGCAAGCGUUAUCCGGAAUUAUUGGGCGUAAAGAGCUCGUAGGCGGUUUGUCGCGUCUGCCGUGAAAGUCCGGGGCUCAACUCCGGAUCUGCGGUGGGUACGGGCAGACUAGAGUGAUGUAGGGGAGACUGGAAUUCCUGGUGUAGCGGUGAAAUGCGCAGAUAUCAGGAGGAACACCGAUGGCGAAGGCAGGUCUCUGGGCAUUAACUGACGCUGAGGAGCGAAAGCAUGGGGAGCGAACAGGAUUAGAUACCCUGGUAGUCCAUGCCGUAAACGUUGGGCACUAGGUGUGGGGGACAUUCCACGUUUUCCGCGCCGUAGCUAACGCAUUAAGUGCCCGCCUGGGGAGUACGGCCGCAAGGCUAAACUCAAAGGAAUUGACGG
rnacentral:rRNA from 1 species